GGACAGGUGACUGGGAAAGAAGGUCCAGUCAACGUGAAGGGAAGGCUAUUGAGUCCAGCUGGUUAUCGUCGCCUCCUGGCUCCUGAAAACCAGUGUUGGGGUCGCAACGGUAGUCUCAGUGCCCGAGCUGGCCCUGUGAAGAUGCCCGGGGUCUGGGAGAGCUGCAGGACUGGGGCAGCUGGCCAGGCGUGGAGCUUUUCAGCCCAGGUUGGGGAAUGGACUAGCAGGGGCAGGCCAGGGAGGCGGGAGCAGCUCCGUCCCCACAACACCAUGGGGCAGUUCACAGCAGGCUUGCCUCUCCUUGCCAGCCACACUCAGCCCCAUCCCCGGAAAAGGCACUUAAUGGGUUUUGAAAAGACAUCAUCAAGAGGGAAGAGGACAUCAUCAAGGGAGAGUCGGGAGACCUGGGUCCUCAUUCUGGCUCCGCAGUGACCCUCAGCAGGUCACUAUCUGUCUCCAGCCUUGUUUUUAUAGGAAUUUGCAUAAGGAGGCGGAGCUAAGAGAUCUCCAAGGUUCCUUUUGGCUUUGAUAUUCUGUUAAUUCUUGGCAAAAGCAGUCCUGCUUGGCUUUGGCUCCUGGGAGGGUAUAGCGCCAUCUCAGGCCCAGCAUCCUCUCCUCCAGAGGUGGAAUUUGAACUAGCUGGGGUGGGAGCGUGUGUGUGUGGGGGGGUGUCAGAGGACACAAUAAGGUGAAAGAAGUGACAGAGUACUUCAUCGCCCCUCUCUUUCACCUCUUCCCUAACCCAGACAAACAUGGGCAUGAGGAAGAGGCCACAGCAGCUGUUCCUCCUCUUCUCCAAUGCUUCACCUUUUGCCAGAGCACCAAUCCCCCAUUCCAAUGUCCCCGAAAGCACUCUAUCUGCAUCCCCAUGCCCCAGCCCCUCUGACCAGAGGCUCUCAUUGCUCAUCUCUCUAUUCCCUGCUCGAGGCUGGGUGAAGGGUCCAAGUGACACAAAAACAUGGGAUCUUCUGGAGCCCAUUGAAGAAAGGAGGUUCCACCUGGCUCCCAGGGCACCUGAGGAAGGAAGGGCUGAGUGAGGGGUUACGUGUUAGAUGCGAGA